UGGUCUUCCCACACUGUUUCUGUUGUGAACCCCGUCAGGCCCGGAAGGGAGCAGCGGCAGCGAUGGACGCGGGUGCUGGGGUCGGGCUG
rnacentral:SRP_RNA from 1 species